UCUCCGUUGGUGAACCAGCGGAGGGAUCAUUACCGAGUUUACAACUCCCAAACCCCUAUGUGAACGUUACCAAACUGUUGCCUCGGCGGGAAAUUCAUGCCCCGGGCGCGUCGCAGCCCCGGACCAAGGCGCUCGCCGGAGGACCAACCAAAACUCUUUUGUAUGUCCCUCGCGGACUUUUAUAAUUCUGAACCAUCUCGGCGCCCCUAGCGGGCGUUUCGAAAAUGAAUCAAAACUUUCAACAACGGAUCUCUUGGUUCUGGCAUCGAUGAGAACGCAGC
rnacentral:misc_RNA from 1 species